rnacentral:rRNA from 1 species
UACGAAGGGGGCUAGCGUUGCUCGGAAUCACUGGGCGUAAAGCGCACGUAGGCGGGUCCUUAAGUCAGGGGUGAAAUCCUGGAGCUCAACUCCAGAACUGCCUUUGAUACUGAGGAUCUCGAGUUCGGGAGAGGUGAGUGGAACUGCGAGUGUAGAGGUGAAAUUCGUAGAUAUUCGCAAGAACACCAGUGGCGAAGGCGGCUCACUGGCCCGAUACUGACACUGAGGCACGAAAGCUAGGGGAGCAAACAGG